CCCUUUCUCAUUUUAAUUUGUUACAAUGCUCUCUGCAACCUUUCAAAAACUGUCUGCAUAUUCUGAUUGAUUAUCUUUCCCCGUAUUGAAUCCAGGGUAAAAAGACCAGACAGUCUGAACUCGGAUCCUCCCAGCCCACCUCAGAAUCAGUUAGGGCAACCUAUGGCUCCCCCAACUCAAAAUCAGUAUGGUCAACCUAUGGCUCCUGCACCUCAGUAUCAGUACGGUCAACCUAUGGCUCCACCGACUCAAAAUCAGUAUGGUCAACCUCUGGCUCCUCCGACUCAAAAUCAAUACGAUCAACCUCUGGCUCCUCCGACUCAAAAUCAAUAUGGUCAACCUAUGGCUCCACCAACUCCGCCCCCACCCGGACCAAACGAGGAUUCAAUGACUCCCCCACCUCAGAAUCAGAAUGGGGAUGGGCAGUUCAUGCCUCCUCCCACUUUGGACCAAGAUCCAAACGACCAG
rnacentral:lncRNA from 1 species